UGUGAUUGGUGUAAGUGUAACAAGUGUGGUUCAUGGACGUAAUUUCAUGAUCCUCAAGGAGAGGAUCCAUGGCGGUACCCUAUUAGUGUUAGAAUGAUUACAUGGUAGCUCAGUCUUGAGGGUUUUCUUGAAACUACAAUGAUUAAUCAUUCUCAAGUAGAGAGGAUUGAAUCAUGUAGUGAGUAGUAGUAGGAGGUCCUAGUUUU
rnacentral:lncRNA from 1 species